rnacentral:sRNA from 1 species
CUUGCCGCACCGAUUUACAUGACAAUAGCCUCGUCUUCCUUAUCUAUCUUAGUUAAUAAGGAUACAUUUUAGCGGAAUCCAUGGUGGUUGGAGCACAAGAUUCGACCUGGCCGAACUUACCACGCUUUUACUUGUCUCAAAAUUAAUAUACUGCAAUAUGAAGACAUUCGACUUUGGCGUAAAGGAAAAAAACGCAUCCUUGAUGUUACGAAGAAACAUCGUUUCUUUUAGGAUAAACAUUUUUCAGUGUAUCUUUUGAUUUGACUUCAUGAACUCCUAUAGGAAGAAUUGCUUUUAUUUAUUGCUUGACCUCAAACUAUCCGAUCUUAGUUUCUGCGUAGAACGAAAGCCGUGCACUGAAAAAAAGUUGGCCUAAAAUUUAAGACCUUUCCAUAUAUGUAGGUUUAACAAGGAAAACGAGCCAAAGAACCAAAACUGUUGGAGAUCAUGAAUACGAUAAAAAUUGCGACCUAAAGUGGCUCAGAGUUUCAAAUUGGGAGAUCAUUUAAUAUGGAAGCUAUAUCAGGUUAUCAACAGAUUAAGCCCAUACUUGACAUACAAUUGUUGGAAGUCUUACCAAAACAAUAUGUACAAAAUUUCAACCAAAUCGGAUAAGAAUUACGUCCCCUAGAGGAUCAAGAAGUAAAAUCGGGAGAUCGGUUUAUAUGAGAUUCAAACGAUACUUAGUACAUCUAUUAAGUGUCAUAGAAGUCGUCAAAGUACAAAAUUUCAGCCAAAUCCGAGAAGAAUUGGGCAGGAGAUGAAAUAUCGGGCAAAGUUUAUCAAUUGUCAUAGAAGAAUGGUAUGUCCCAAAUUUCGGGAGGAUCGUUUAAAAAUUACUGCAAUGUUACUAAAAAUAUAGGAGCUACAUCCAACUGCUGCUGGCAAACUUCACCUCUAGGCAAAAAAGAAAAUGCUUGUGCCAAAUUGGAAGAUGGUAGGAUGCAAAUUACGAUCUGUAUUUUGUACAUAAAAUAACAAGGACAGACAGACGGGCAAAGCUAAAUCUUCUCAGUAAGUGGUUAUAAGACGAUCUAUAUAUAUAUGUCAAUGGUGUAACUCUCUUCAAACAAAUAUACUAAGUUUUAUAUACCCUAUACCAUGGUAGUGGUAGCAAUACUGACUACUGGCUGUCCGACCAUUAUUGAUUGAAAAAGCAACAAACGCUCUCAAACUCUCUGCCAAAUGGAAGAGACACAAGAGAUAAACUAAGCAAACGAUUCAUAUUUUCGUGUAAAAAAAGCAUCUUUAGCUGUAGAAAACAUUUUUGACUUAAAAGAUUUUUUGAACUCUCGCUCAAUAAGGCCAUCCUUAACCACAGAAGAAGGUUUUACCGUAAGCGAUGUGACUUUUGCAUCAAAAAAGGACUUCAUUUGUUUGUCGCAAAGAUUUUCUAAACGUUCGCACGUUUUUACGUGUAUUUGUUUUAAAUGUGCGGACUCUAACCCAAAUAAGGCAGACAAUUUAUAAACUUGAUCUAUAAUUAGCUUAGCUUUAACAUCCUGUACUUGUAUAUACUAGUAGUAGUGUAGAGAAUAAAGUUUGAAGUGAAUGAAUUUAUUUGUUUGAAA